rnacentral:rRNA from 1 species
GCGAAGAAUCUUCCGCAAUGGGGGGAACCCUGACGGAGCGACGCCGCGUGGGCGAUGAAGGUCGUAAGAUUGUAAAGCCCUUUUAUCGGUGAAGAAUAAGCGGGGGAGUGGAACGCCCUCGUGAUGACGUUAGCCGAUGAAUAAGCCCCGGCCAAUUACGUGCCAGCAGCCGCGGUAAUACGUAUGGGGCGAGCGUUGUUCGGAGUUAUUGGGCGUAAAGGGCGUGUAGGCGGCUCAUCAAGUCUGGUGUGAAAUCGCAGGGCUUAACCCUGCAUAUGCGCUGGAAACUGGUGGGCUUGAGUUCUGGAGGGGAAGCUGGAAUUCCAGGUGUAGGGGUGAAAUCUGUAGAUAUCUGGAAGAACACCGGUGGCGAAGGCGAGCUUCUAUCCGCGGACUGACGCUGAGGCGCGAAAGCGUGGGGAGCAAACAGGAUUAGAAACCCGGGUAGUCC